rnacentral:rRNA from 1 species
UACGUAGGGUGCGAGCGUUUAAUCGGAAUUACUGGGCGUAAAGCGUGCGCAGGCGGUUUUGUAAGCCAGAUGUGAAAUCCCCGGGCUUAACCUGGGAAUGGCAUUUGGGACUGCAAGGCUGGAGUUUGGCAGAGGAGACUGGAAUUCCUGGUGUAGCAGUGAAAUGCGUAGAUAUCAGGAGGAAUACCGAUGGCGAAGGCAGGUCUCUGGGCUAUAACUGACGCUCAUGCACGAAAGCGUGGGGAGCAAACAGG